rnacentral:rRNA from 1 species
ACGGACUUAACCGAAAUAUUUAUAUUUUGGAGCGGUUAGUGGCGGACUGGUGAGUAACGCGUAAGCAAUCUGCCUAUUAGAGGGGAAUAACAGUGAGAAAUCACUGCUAAUACCGCAUAUGCCAUGAACAUCGCAUGAUGAAAAUGGGAAAGGAGUAAUCCGCUAAUAGAUGAGCUUGCGUCUGAUUAACUAGUUGGUGUGGUAAUGGCAUACCAAGGUAACGAUCAGUAGCCGGACUGAGAGGUUGAACGGCCACAUUGGGACUGAGAUACGGCCCAGACUCCUACGGGAGGCAGCAGUCGGGAAUAUUGCGCAAUGGAGGAAACUCUGACGCAGUGACGCCGCGUAUAGGAUGAAGGUUUUCGGAUUGUAAACUAUUGUCAUUAGGGAAGAUAAAAGACAGUACCUAAGGAGGAAGCUCCGGCUAACUACGUGCCAGCAGCCGCGGUAAUACGUAGGGAGCAAGCGUUAUCCGGAUUUAUUGGGUGUAAAGAGUGCGUAGACGGGAGAUUAAGUUAGUUGUGAAAGCCCUCGGCUUAACUGAGGAAUUGCAACUAAAACUGGUUUUCUUGAGUGCAGGAGAGGUAAGUGGAAUUCCUAGUGUAGCGGUGAAAUGCGUAGAUAUUAGGAGGAACACCAGUGGCGAAGGCGACUUACUGGACUGUAACUGACGUUGAGGCACGAAAGUGUGGGGAGCA